AGUGGCAGACGGGUGAGUAACAUGUAGGUAUCUGCCCUUUGGCCUGGAAUAACACGAGGAAACUUGUGCUAAUACCGGAUAAGUCUUUACGGAGAAAGCUUUAUGCACCAUUGGAUGAGCCUGCACUUGAUUAGUUUGUUGGUGGGGUAAUGGCCUACCAAGACUGUGAUCAAUAGCUGAUUUGAGAGGAUGAUCAGCCACAUUGGGACUGAGACACGGCCCAAACUCCUACGGGAGGCAGCAGUGGGGAAUCUUGCACAAUGGAGGAAACUCUGAUGCAGCGAUGCCGCGUGAGUGAAGAAGGCCUUUGGGUUGUAAAGCUCUUUCGUCGGGGAAGAAAAUGACUGUACCCUAAUAAUAAGGUCCGGCUAACUUCAUGCCAGCAGCCGCGGUAAU
rnacentral:rRNA from 1 species